AAAAAGAUGCUACCGAAGACGUGAGUACCACAUCAGAAGAACAACAUUCCCCAGCUGAGUCUUCAAGCCCGUUAUCUGUAGCUUCAGAUUCCGAGGCGCAGAGAUCAGAUUCCAUACCAGUUGAGGAUUCUUCAUCCCUCGAGGAACCUCAAGUUCUGGAAACGGACAAUGAAAGAAACGGUGAAACUCAAGCGCCUAUGGUUGAUGAUGAUGGUUUGGGUAAUGGUCAAAACAUGGAAAGGCGAAGUGGGCGAAGGCAAAUGGAGAAGAGAUCACAGCAUGGAAUGCCUAAUGGGUUCCACGGUAAUCAUGCGCCAAAACUUGGAGGCAUCCGAAAGAAUGGAACUAACAGAGACGUAAGAGGCAAUAUUACUAAAGUUUGGAGCCGAAAAACCAAUAACCCCAACUCGAUAUCACCAGAAGCAGCAGUGGAUGAACAGGAUCGAACAAAGAACAGUGAAGUUCUGAUUGGAUCGUUGAGUGUAACAAUCCGAAACACCGGAGAACAUAACCAAGCAAAAUGCCGUGAAGAGGAGCCAAGAAUGAAGACUGUUGAGGCGAAACCCACAUCUGACCAAUCAACUGUAAAAGUAUGGAGGCCAGUGAGCAGUCAGGGAAGGAUCGAUGAAAACACAGACAAAAAGGAUAAGAUCCCAAGCUCAACUGUACCUGAAGUUAAAACCGCUCAUCACAUAAGCUUGAACGAAGCUAAGGCGUUUCUUGCAAAGAGUAAAACUUCUUUUAACUGGUCUUUUUUUUUCUCCCUAUCGUUUAAUUCCAAUAUUUGUUUACUCAAAAAUCUGAAUUGGCUUGUCAGGAUGGAAAGAGGCAACCUCUGAAGAACACGUGACGUUGGUUCUGUCUCAGGAAACAGACAUUUCAGGUAACAACAACACUCACGAAUCUUCGAAUGGUGUUAUAACCGCCGCACGACCAAAGCUCAGGAAGAAACGCGAAAAAGGUAGCAAGGUAAAGUAUGUUCCAAAACAGAGGACUCCUUGAGAAAUCUAAACAAAAAAAGAACGAGCUCGUCUCUGGACCGGAGUAUCAUUUUUUAGGUAUACCAAAAGUGCAGUAUUAGUGAGAGAGACGUAUGGUAUUUUUUUUCUUUGCUUCUAGAGAGAUUUUUCUUGAUUUUAAGAGUCAAUAUUCUUUUUUUGUUUACUUCAUUUUCUCGAUAGAAAGACAUUGAGUUGUUAUUUUGUUGACCUUUCUCCAUGGUGAGGGUUUAAACUUGAAAUUUUGAAAUGAAAUUGAUAUUUAGCCAAAUAUGAAGUCUACCAUACUGUAAUAUCAUAUCAGUACAACAUAGAUUCCUACAAUAUAUGUAUAGUUGUUAGACCCCAAUCUCUUACUAAAUCACCGAACUGCUUCCAAUGUUAGAGGGUUUAGUUCUUUCUGGUAAUAAAGAAGAUAGAAACCCUUUUUAUCUUUCGUUCUUUCUCAGUUAGUCAACUGAAUCCUCCAGACCGUAACACCGGAAAGAAACUCCAACUGUUUCCUGGACUGUUGUUAUCACCUUCUCGCAUGACCUUCUCAUUCGACCACCACUCCGUUCUCACCAUUUCUUCAGUGUUAUCAAACUUGAACUCUUUGCUCGACCCUAGCGAAAACGUUCUUAACUUGUGACUCUCUGUUUCUCCCCACGUUUUGUCACUCCAUCUCAUAGUAGGCGAAACCGCCUCAUACGUAUCCCUUUGAUCAUCGAAACCAGCUCGGUUUAGCUUACUUGCAAAACAACGUGCUAAGUCUUCGCCAGUCACCUCAAACGAAACUCUAUGACCAACCGUGAGAGCUUCAUCGUUCCAUGACGACCCGUGAUCUGAAUAUCCAAAAACAGUGCCUUCAAGUGACGUCAGAUUCCCAGAACCCAUUCUUGAAACCAUCUCUGCACCGUUUGAGCCGAGUCCGAAUCCUCCGCCACCAUCAGGAGUCAGGGCACCUGAACCCAACCUCGAACCUGGACCAGCAGGUGUGAUGGAUCCAGAACCGAAUCUCGACCCCCAUUUACGAGCUGUGAAGUGCUCAAACCCCAAGAACUUUGGAGCUUCUCCGACACGAAACUCAAUGAUGGAGCAUUUACCUGGGUAAGGAGAAGAAGUACCUGAACCAGGAGAGAUUAGACUACCACCUGGACUUCCUGGAUACACUUGAUGCGACUGAAACUCGUAGUGCGCAGCUGAAAACUGUUGAUCCAUUCCCCCGCUGUUUCUCCGAGCUCGUUCCAGAGAAGAUGUAAGUAACUGAGCAAAUGGCACUUCAGGGGAAGAAGGAGUUGCAGAACUCAUUUGACCUGACUCUGGAGGUGGCGUGAACGGCGCAGUGGAUGGUCGAGUAGUGUAAGCAGAGUCCACAGGAGGAGUCACGGGUUGAGUUUCGUGAGCGUAAGGUCCAAUCUCAAAGGCUGAAGACGGUUCGUUCAGUGAAUAUGUGUUGACCGGCAAGGAGAGUAGACCAUGAGGAGUGUGGGACAUAGAUGGUGGACCUGACUGAAGAAACGAUGCAGGAGAUGAAGGAGGAGCCAUAAAGGGAAGAAACAUAGAAGUUGAGUUGCUCGAAGAGUUUUGGACUGGAGCCACCGGAGCUGAUCCGGAGGCAACCGGUUCGGGUACAAGCACCGCGUGGCCGAUCCGCUUGUUGUUCUUUUGUGAUUUAAAACACCAGUACAAGCUCCAACAGCUUCCCCAUUUUUUCUUCUGAUGAAUUUCAAGAAAAAAAAAUACAAGAUUUUUGAUCAGCUUCGGACAGAACCAAAGUCUAUAUAACACUUCAAACAGACAUAAAAUGUAAUUGAGAUCUCCUGUCGGAAAACGUUGGCAAAUCAAGACGCAACAAUUCUUAUUAAUAUUUUUUUUAAACAGUAUUCUUAUUUAUGAUGACAAGAAGAAGAGGAGGAAACAUAUGUACACUCCGGAAAAAAGGAGAGCUCGUAGUUACCUGCACCCUCGACGAUUGUAGUCUUGACUCGGAGGAGGAGAAGAUGGCAGAAGCAGCGGCGCUCACCGUAUCAACGUUAUUGUUCAAGUUUCUCAUAUCUUAGACUUGUUUAACAUCCAAGAUUUGUACGACUCUACCACCACUUUCGAUCUCAGUAUUAAACGAGGAGAUAGAGAUUUUUUCCCUGGUUGGAAUCAAAAGGAACAAAUGAUCCUAAGUAAAAGAAAUGUGAAACCGAAGAAGGAUUAGUAUAAAUAAGCAAACAAGGCUUUGAUUCUUAUGAAAUGGGAUGAGUCUUCUCUCUCUCACCGGUCGUUAUCUUCCACAGUUUUCAUUCAAUUUCCCACGAGAUAUUGCCAUGUCAUCCAAAUUGACUGUCGGGACCCACGCGCUUCCUUUUUUACUUUCUUCGAGAUAUAUUCUCAAAUUAUUGUGUAUUAAACUGUGAAUUUAAAAGAAAAAUGAAUAAAAAAACACUAAAAAGGGAGAGUAACGCCCAUGUUUUAAAAAUCGGUCACCUAGCCGCCUAGACGGCCAUCUAGAUACUACACAUCACUCUUUUACUCCAAUCUGUUUAAAAAAUUAGAUAUCUGAUUUUCUCUGCCUAUACCGCCUAGACGACCGUCUAAUCUAUUUUUUUUUGUAUUUUUAUUUUAUUUUUAAUAAUAUUUUUUAUUAAUAUAUUUGAUCUAAAAUUUUAUAAAUAUCAUUUAUAUUCAUAAUUUUGAUGAAAAUUACACUAUAUUAAGUUUAUAUAUUCUAUUUGUGUGUUUUAUACAAUCUUAAACAUGAAAAUGUAUUAAUGUUAUACACAAUUAAAGAUUAACAUGUUUUAUAACAUAGUAAACACUCUGCCACAAUAUUAUCUAAGAGCUGGUUCUGACCUUUUGGUAUGAAUUUCUUUUUUACCUUUCUGGAUAAAGAGUGUCCUCAAUGCUCAACUCAUGGCUGAUUUAGUGAUACAUGCUCUGGUUUCUCCAGGAUAUUAUCCAGGCUAGAACACCUAGGUUUUCAAUUUCUUCGCAGAAGCUUUUUAGCAUCCUCGAUGAAGCAAGUGAAAAAACUUUCAUGUGUAACGAGGCUGCACCAAUGCAAAAAUACAUAUUUGACGGGGAAAUUGGGAAAAAUAUGCUGGAGGCAAAAAAUGUCGUUGCUUGCGCAAGCUUUCUCCUGGAACAGAAAUUGGUAAAUUUUUCCUUUAAGGUUUCAACAUUGCUCUCUAGUUGGCAGUGCAAAGUGUCUAAGACGAGGACUUAGCCUACUGUGAUUUAUCUUUGUAUUCUUAACGUAAAGAUCAAAGCAUGGCUUGCUGACAAAGAUGCGGAAGCCCUGAGGUGCCAAAAUUUACUGGUUGAAGAGGAAGAAGCUGCUCAAAGAAGGUGCGUUCUUAUCAAUUGAAAUGCUUGUCAUGUAACGUUACUAGAUUCACAAUUCUCUAAUUCUGAAUUGGCUUCUAAGUGUUAAGUCUUAUUCGCUGGUAUUAUGUCUGGAGCAGACAAGCCGAGCUCUUGGAGAGAAAGAAGAGGAAGAAGCUAAGACAGAAAGAACAAAGAGUAAAGGACCAAAAAAAAGAUGCUACCGAAGACGUGAGUACCACAUCAGAAGAACAACAUUCCCCAGCUGAGUCUUCAAGCCCGUUAUCUGUAGCUUCAGAUUCCGAGGCGCAGAGAUCAGAUUCCAUACCAGUUGAGGAUUCUUCAUCCCUCGAGGAACCUCAAGUUCUGGAAACGGACAAUGAAAGAAACGGUGAAACUCAAGCGCCUAUGGUUGAUGAUGAUGGUUUGGGUAAUGGUCAAAACAUGGAAAGGCGAAGUGGGCGAAGGCAAAUGGAGAAGAGAUCACAGCA
rnacentral:lncRNA from 1 species